rnacentral:lncRNA from 1 species
AACAACAAAAUUUUGCGCUCAUGAUCAUAAAAUUAAGAACUAUACCAUAUUACAAUAAUAUCUCUUACAAACUCCUAAAACUAAAACAUACAAAUAAAGUUUAUCUAAAGCGAAGUCUAAUCAAAAUACAUGAGUAUUGAUUAUAAAAAUAAAAAUAAAAAAGUAUAUUGCUUCUAUAGUAUGUUGCUUCUCCAAAUGCUAAUGUGUGUCUAAUAAUUUUCAUCUUCAUAUGCCUGAGAAUAGGAAAAAAAAAAUUACAAUUUUAGUCCAUACUUAAUGAUCACAUGAUUUAAAAAACAUAUAUUUUAAAUGUUAAUUAUAAAUCAAAUAUUAUUUAAUAAGAAUAAUAGAACGAGAAAUAAGCAGUGAUAAGAUACUUAUUCCAGUUCAUUGGCGGUAACCACAUUUAGAUUAAGAGAUAAAAUUUUGAGCUGUUAACCUCUCAAAAAUUAGAGAACAAUAGACAAAAUUUCUUUAUACCCUUACAAUAAAAUUAAAAUAAAUAAAAACACACUAAUACAUACAUGUCAUAUGCCAUCCGGAGAUACCCAAAUUUUUAAUGCUCUAAAUACAUAUCGAAAGAAAGUAGAGUAGAUUAUAUACCUUGUCUUGAAAUGCCCAUCAUCCCAUAUUGGGUCUUCUAUGGUAUUAAAUCAAGAAAUAAUUUUGGAGAAUAGACACACACAUACAUAGAGAUUGAGAAAGAGAGAGAGAAGCAAUAUAUUGAUAGUGAAAAUGAUAACAGAUUUUACUUGGGCAAGAGUUUGAUUGGGGGUUGAAGAUCUCAUAAAGAGAUAUGAG